AGCGGACGGGUGAGUAACACGUGGGCAACCUACCUUGUAGAUUGGGAUAACUCCGGGAAACCGGGGCUAAUACCGAAUAAUCCAUUUUGCUUCAUGGCGAAAUGUUAAAAGGCGGCUUCGGCUGUCACUGCAAGAUGGGCCCGCGGCGCAUUAGCUAGUUGGUAAGGUAACGGCUUACCAAGGCGACGAUGCGUAGCCGACCUGAGAGGGUGAUCGGCCACACUGGGACUGAGACACGGCCCAGACUCCUACGGGAGGCAGCAGUAGGGAAUCUUCCACAAUGGACGAAAGUCUGAUGGAGCAACGCCGCGUGAGUGAAGAAGGUUUUCGGAUCGUAAAACUCUGUUGUAAGGGAAGAACACGUACGAGAGUAACUGCUCGUACCUUGACGGUACCUUAUUAGAAAGCCACGGCUAACUACGUGCCAGCAGCCGCGGUAAUACGUAGGUGGCAAGCGUUGUCCGGAAUUAUUGGGCGUAAAGCGCGCGCAGGCGGUCCUUUAAGUCUGAUGUGAAAGCCCACGGCUCAACCGUGGAGGG
rnacentral:rRNA from 1 species